GAUGAACGCUGGCGGCAUGCCUAAUACAUGCAAGUCGAACGAGAGGAAGGAAAGCUUGCUUUUCUGAAUCUAGUGGCGAACGGGUGAGUAACACGUAGGUAACCUGCCCAUGUGCCCGGGAUAACUUCUGGAAACGGAUGCAAAACCGGAUAGGUAGCAGACAAGCAUUUGACUGCUAUUAAAGUGGCUAAGGCCAUGAACAUGGAUGGACCUGCGGUGCAUUAGCUAGUUGGUGAGGUAACGGCCCACCAAGGCGACGAUGCAUAGCCGGCCUGAGAGGGCGGACGGACACAUUGGGACUGAGACACGGCCCAAACUCCUACGGGAGGCAGCAGUAGGGAAUUUUCGUCAAUGGGGGGAACCCUGAACGAGCAAUGCCGCGUGAGUGAGGAAGGUCUUCGGAUCGUAAAGCUCUGUUGUAAGAGAAAAACGACAUUCAUAGGGAAUGAUGAGUGAGUGAUGGUAUCUUACCAGAAAGUCACGGCUAACUACGUGCCAGCCGCCGCGGUAAAAC
rnacentral:rRNA from 1 species